AAACUUACCCAAAAGGGGAGAUAUUGUGAUCACAGAAGCAUUUUUUCGUGAGGCUCGUCCAUUGCACUCUGCAUAUGCUGUCCCUUAUGAUUUCUAGAAAUUUUGAGAAUUGCAUAAAUAGUGACAGUGGGGGACACUGUCACUGUGUUCCCAC
rnacentral:snRNA from 11 species